UAUAACCAAAGAUAUUCCUAUCCACUUCUAUUUAACAAGGCAUUUCCUUCCAUCUUCAGAGCUAAACAUCAGUCUUUUUGAAUGCUUUUGUAUUGAGUUUGCAGCUUUAUGCGAAUAGUUCCGUUCUAUCUAUAGUACCAGAAUACGCACACAAAUGCAGCAAUGGUCGUUGCGAAAACGGUGUGAUGAUGGCGAUGACUGUUGGUGGUGGAGGCGAUAUCGAGUGGUGUAACUUAUUGAUGUAAAAGUUUUCAAUGUAAAGGAUUAAUGAAGAUAUAUUGAAAGAUCAAUGAUUGAUAGUGAAA